rnacentral:rRNA from 1 species
UACGUAGGGAGCAAGCGUUGUUCGGAUUUACUGGGCGUAAAGGGCGCGUAGGCGGCAUGACAAGUCACUUGUGAAAUCUCUGGGCUUAACCCAGAACGGCCAAGUGAUACUGUCGCGCUAGAGUGCGGAAGGGGCAAUCGGAAUUCUCGGUGUAGCGGUGAAAUGCGUAGAUAUCGAGAGGAACACCUGAGGUGAAGACGGGUUGCUGGGCCGACACUGACGCGGAGUGCGCGAAAGCCAGGGGAGCAAACGGG